UUGGUCCUACGGGGGGCAGCAGUGGGGAAUAUUGGGCAAUGGACGCAAGUCUGACCCAGCAACGCCGCGUGAAGGAAGAAGGCUUUCGGGUUGUAAACUUCUUUUAAGGGGGAAGAGUAGAAGACGGUACCCCUUGAAUAAGCCACGGCUAACUACGUGCCAGCAGCCGCGGUAAUACGUAGGUGGCAAGCGUUGUCCGGAUUUACUGGGUGUAAAGGGCGUGCAGCCGGAGAGACAAGUCAGAUGUGAAAUCCGCAGGCUCAACCUGCGAACUGCAUUUGAAACUGUUUCCCUUGAGUAUCGGG
rnacentral:rRNA from 1 species